rnacentral:rRNA from 1 species
GACGAACGCUGGCGGCGUGCUUAACACAUGCAAGUCGAACGGAAAGGCCAUGCUUUUGUGGGGUGCUCGAGUGGCGAACGGGUGAGUAACACGUGAGUAACCUGCCCUUGACUUUGGGAUAACUUCAGGAAACUGGGGCUAAUACCGGAUAGGAGCUCCUGCUGCAUGGUGGGGGUUGGAAAGUUUCGGCGGUUGGGGAUGGACUCGCGGCUUAUCAGCUUGUUGGUGGGGUAGUGGCUUACCAAGGCUUUGACGGGUAGCCGGCCUGAGAGGGUGACCGGCCACAUUGGGACUGAGAUACGGCCCAGACUCCUACGGGAGGCAGCAGUGGGGAAUAUUGCACAAUGGGCGGAAGCCUGAUGCAGCAACGCCGCGUGCGGGAUGACGGCCUUCGGGUUGUAAACCGCUUUCGCCUGUGACGAAGCGUGAGUGGCGGUAAUGGGUAAAGAAGCACCGGCUAACUACGUG